CAACCCUCAAGCAUUGCUUGGUGUUGGGGCACUGCUUCUAACGAAGCAGGCCCUGAAAUCUAGUGGCGAGCUCGCCAGGACCCCGAGCGUAGUAGUUAAACCCUCGCUUUGGAAGGCCCGGGCGGUGCCCUGCCGUUAAACCCCCAACUUCUGAAA
rnacentral:misc_RNA from 1 species